rnacentral:rRNA from 1 species
UACGAAGGGGGCUAGCGUUGCUCGGAAUCACUGGGCGUAAAGCGCACGUAGGCGGGCUAUUAAGUCAGGGGUGAAAUCCCGGGGCUCAACCCCGGAACUGCCUUUGAUACUGGUAGUCUCGAGUCCGGAAGAGGUGAGUGGAAUUCCGAGUGUAGAGGUGAAAUUCGUAGAUAUUCGGAGGAACACCAGUGGCGAAGGCGGCUCACUGGUCCGGUACUGACGCUGAGGUGCGAAAGCGUGGGGAGCAAACAGG